rnacentral:rRNA from 1 species
UACAGAGGGUGCGAGCGUUAAUCGGAAUUACUGGGCGUAAAGCGUGCGUAGACGGCUAUCUAAGUCGGGUGUGAAAGCCCCGGGCUCAACCUGGGAAUUGCAUUCGAGACUGAAUAGCUAGGGUACGGUAGAGGGAAGUGGAAUUUCCGGUGUAGCGGUGAAAUGCGUAGAUAUCGGAAGGAACAUCAGUGGCGAAGGCGGCCCACUGGGCCGGAACUGGACGCUGAGGCGCGGAAGGCGUGGGGGAGCGAACGG